AGAGGACAGAUGAGGAAACCAAGGCUUGGGAGGAGAAGCGGCGCAUCCUGUGGCACACAGUAGGUGUGACACAAGACAGCUGACUCUGGCUUCCAGGCUCUUCCCACAGAUCUGCAGAGCUUCUGCCCUCCCAGCCCCACCUGCCAGGACUAGGUCCUCUCCGCCGGCCCUGCAGCUGCGUUCUCUGCCUCUGCUCUGUGGACUGAUGCCUCACACGAGCUCCCUGGCCUCUGGCUUCUGCCUCCCCAUGCCCUCUCUUGUGAACAGUCCAUCAGGGCUGGGAGGAAAGCAGGAUGAAACCAGUUCCCAGCGAAGCAGCAUUCGCCAGCAUUUACUUCAUACCUCCCUUUAAUCAACUCACUUUUCUCUAAAAGCUUUAAAAA
rnacentral:lncRNA from 1 species